AUCUUCCUCCCGUCAAGAGGUAGGCUUUCCUCCCCAUACACGCCUCCUCUCUUGUCUCUCUCUCUCUUUCGUUUUUCCUCCUAUCAACUAGGGUUGUGGCAGCCGCCGCCGCCCCAUCGCCCCUCUGGCGCUGCCCACCGGAGAAAGGCCUGCCUCGAGCCCCCCACCCCUUCCUCCUUUCCUCUCCCAUGACACGCAACCUCUCAUUCCUCUUCUUCCCCUGAUCUGGUCGUUCCAAUUCUUGGCAAUCGGGAGGAGGCAGCCAGUGGAUGGGAAGGCCGGGCGGAAGAGAAGGAUGAGGGGACGCGGCUGCGAGUACGCCACCAGCCGUGCGGAUUGGAUGGGAAGAGAAGUCGGCGGCGGUGGCGGUUUCGAUCUCUGAUCUGCCACCAGCGCCGCCGCAGGGACGGGUGAAAGCAUCUGAGAUGGCUGCAGGGGCGGCGCGGGCCCGGGCUCGGGCAGCCACCAUGGCGUCGAAUGCACCGGUGGGGGCCUCUUCCUCGUAGCAAGGCGUGGCCCUGCUCUUCCCCAUAGCGCUGAUGACAAGGCGGGCGGCGCCGCGAGCUCUCGUCCCGAGGAAGCCGCGGGAGGACGAGGUCAAGACGGACCAGGUCGACGUGCCCCCCUGCCACACCCCUUCUUCUCCUACGGGUUGGUUGCUGCUGUUGCUGGUGUCGGUCGUGUCCGAUUCGAUCGGCCUGUGGUUUCCUGUUGUUGCGGCAGGUUGCAAGAUUUGUUGGAACUAAUUUUGAGAAGACUGAAUCUACCACGUAUCCAAAUGGAGCGGUUGCAAUCGUUAUAUACCUGGAAUGAUGCUUUUAUAUGUCUGAAUUUUCACAAGUAUUUCUAAACUUGGCCCUAGCGAAGUGGCAAGUGUACUGCAGUAGUUAGCCUACUACUUCAGUUAUAUGCACCUGUGAUGAAUUGGGUACAUCCAAACUUCUCCUGUGAUAUCUUUAUUUUCUUUUUCGGUUUAUAAGGUAGUGAAGCCUCAGUUAAUCUGCAAAGUGUGCUAUGUUCUUGUUUGUUGCUGGCCUCUAUCUGUUUGUUGGUAUGCGUUUGCAAACUGAAAAUAUUCGUGUUUUUCAGGUCUCUGUUAGAGGAAUGUAUUUUCUUGCAAACUAAAUUGGUUUUCUGGAACAUGUCUUCAUAUUUUAGAUUUUAGUGUAUGGCUUCAGAACUAUUCAUUGGAUAUACUUGGUUGAUUCCAGCCCGUGGAUAAGAAUAUUCCAGUCACUGGAGAGAUUGUUGAACAUGUGACAUUGAUGCAAAUCUCUGGCCACCUACGGGUGAAACUGCUUGAAGACCAAGUUUGAAUAUGUACGAGGGCAGUGAAGUUCGGCAUGCGAGUUUACUUGCAGUCUCUAACCCUAAUGUAAUCAGUCCCAGUAGUGAGGGGAAGGCGCUGCCAACGAGGAUGUGGAGGAGAACAAGGUCGAGACGGAUCGGUGAAGGGUGUUGAGGCUGGCUCGCUGGCCGCAGCCUCUCUCCUCCUCGUCUUCGACAGUGUGAAGAAGAUUGAUGUUGAAAUGGACGCAUGCUGCAGGAGAAGCAGAGGCGUCUUGUGAGCCUUGGGUUCUUCAUCGAUCUGUUUGUGCGUGCUCUUGGUCGCAUGCACGCCUAAGCAAUCAACUGUUCACCGACCUGUCUAUUGUAUGCAUUAUGGUUGAGGAAAGCUUGAAAUACAAUAGUGGCAAACAUCUCCAUUGACGCUACAAAGCAUCUUGAUGAUUUUGAAGAUAGAUGGAUGGGAGGUGGGACACGAUUUUGUGCUCCUCCCCGCUCGAAAGGUGACGAGCUUCCAUCUCUAAUAUCUUUUGGCGGUACUUGUUAGGUUGAGAUCUGUGACGCCUAUGAAUAUUAUCAUUUUUAUUUAUUUCUAAUAUGGACACCUCUGUAUGCUCCAAGACUUAACUAUGUACUGUUGAUUUAUGGCAUGGUGAUUGGUGAUUGAUUUCGAUUGCACGGGAAUUCUGGGGAGAGCAGUGGAAAAUCUAUGGGGAACUUGUGUGUUAACGGUGCUAGCAGAGCAACGACUGGCUGCACUAUGGCAGACAGGGAUUCUCAAUGGACGAGACGCCGGCGACCGUUGGCUUGGUGCGUCGGACAUUGCUUGUUUAUUUGCUGAAUUUGGUUCACUUUAGCCAUGCAUCAGCUAUACAUGUAUGCGUGCUAUAAGGGAAUCAAUCAGCGCUAAAACCAUUGGAAAGGGCGGGAGUUUACCUGGCACCGCACAGCUGCCGUUUCAGGCGGCGCGCCGUGGGCGCGCC